rnacentral:rRNA from 1 species
CAAGUCGAGCGGCAGCGCGGGGCAACCUGGCGGCGAGCGGCGAACGGGUGAGUAAUGCAUCGGAACAUGUCCAUGUCGUGGGGGAUAGCCCGGCGAAAGCCGGAUUAAUACCGCAUACGCCCGAGAGGGGAAAGUGGGGGACCGCAAGGCCUCACGCGAUUGGGUUGGCCGAUGUCCGAUUAGCUAGUUGGCGGGGUAAUGGCCCACCAAGGCGAUGAUCGGUAGCUGGUCUGAGAGGAUGAUCAGCCACACUGGGACUGAGACACGGCCCAGACUCCUACGGGAGGCAGCAGUGGGGAAUUUUGGACAAUGGGGGCAACCCUGAUCCAGCCAUUCCGCGUGAGUGAAGAAGGCCUUCGGGUUGUAAAGCUCUUUUGUCCGGAACGAAACGGUGAACGUGAAUAUCGUUCGCUACUGACGGUACCGGAAGAAUAAGCACCGGCUAACUACGUGCCAGCAGCCGCGGUAAUACGUAGGGUGCGAGCGUUAAUCGGAAUUACUGGGCGUAAAGCGUGCGCAGGCGGUUUUGUAAGCCAGAUGUGAAAUCCCCGGGCUUAACCUGGGAAUGGCAUUUGGGACUGCAAGGCUGGAGUGUGGCAGAGGAGACUGGAAUUCCUGGUGUAGCAGUGAAAUGCGUAGAUAUCAGGAGGAAUACCGAUGGCGAAGGCAGGUCUCUGGGCUGACACUGACGCUCAUGCACGAAAGCGUGGGGAGCAAACAGGAUUAGAUACCCUGGUAGUCCACGCCCUAAACGAUGUCGACUGGUUGUUGGGGGUUUGACACUCUCAGUAACGAAGCUAACGCGUGAAGUCGACCGCCUGGGGA